GGGAGGAGCACCAGAUCUUGGGCUGUGUCGCCCAGCACCCUGGGCUCUGGGGCCUGUGCCACUGCAAUCACGCUCCCGGGCCACAGAGCCCCCU
rnacentral:pre_miRNA from 1 species